GGACUACUCGGGUUUCUAAUCCUGUUUGCUCCCCACGCUUUCGCGCCUCAGCGUCAGUAACGGGCCAGUGAGUCGCCUUCGCCACUGGUGUUCUUCCGAAUAUCUACGAAUUUCACCUCUACACUCGGAGUUCCACUCACCUCUCCCGUACUCUAGACGUUCAGUAUCAAAGGCAGUUCCAAGGUUGAGCCCUGGGCUUUCACCUCUGACUUAAUCGUCCGCCUACGCGCCCUUUACGCCCAGUAAAUCCGAGCAACGCUAGCCCCCUUCGUAUUACCGCGGCUGCUGGCAC
rnacentral:rRNA from 1 species